AAGUGGUAGCAAUACCAUGAGUAAAGUGGCGCACGGGUGAGUAACACGUGACUAACCUACCCUGGAGUGGGGGAUAACUGAGGGAAACCUUAGCUAAUACCGCAUAAUACCCACGGGUCAAAGGAGCAAUUCGCUUUGGGAGGGGGUCGCGGCCGAUUAGUUAGUUGGCGGGGUAACGGCCCACCAAGGCGAAGAUCGGUAGCCGGCCUGAGAGGGCGCACGGCCACACUGGAACUGAAACACGGUCCAGACUCCUACGGGAGGCAGCAGUGGGGAAUUUUGCGCAAUGGGGGAAACCCUGACGCAGCAACGCCGCGUGGAGGAUGAAGCCCCUUGGG
rnacentral:rRNA from 1 species